rnacentral:lncRNA from 1 species
AUGUGGGGCCGGGAUCUUUGGGGCUGUGAGGCUUGCUGCCAGCUCUCGGUGCCCUAUUGGUGUUUUCUCUCUCCCAGAUGUCCAGGAGAGCAGAUUCUCCCCCUGCCUGCCCCUGCUGCUGAGCCCAGCCCUGGCUGAGACGUUCCUGCAGGGAUCCCAGAUGGAUUUCCUUCCCCUGAGGGGAAUCCCGGAUGUUUCUGGAGCAUCCCUGGAGCAUUCAGAGCCUCCCCACGUCCAUGGCAGUGCCCUUCCCUGUCCAUCCCAGCACUCCCAGCCCGUGGGACGGGCGGAUCCUGGAGCUGCUGCCCUGUCUGGGGAGCCCCGGGGCAGCCGGGGGGACAGUGGGGACAGUGGCACCCAGCAGGAGGCACCAGGCCCCCGGGGCAGGGGGGAUCCAGCACCCCCAGCUCCCGAGGAGGGGCUGGGGAAGGGGCUGGAGCAGCCCUGGAGCACAGCUGGGGAGGCUGGACACUGCUGUGCUCACUCCUCCCAGGACAGUGAUGGCCCAGCUGCUGGCUCUGAGCUGUCAGAGAGGAACAAGGAUUCCCCGGGGCAGGAGGAAUCCUCCUCCUCCUCCUCCUCAGGAAACUCCUCCUAUACAACUGCACUGACCAAAUUCUCAGAGAAAAGCGAAAGGGGGAUGCAGCAGGAAAAGGUGAAUGCGGUCGGGAGUGGAGCAGGAGCCCUGGAGAAGCUGGAAAAAGGAAAGAAGGUGCCUGAGCUUGGUUUGCCAAGUAAUUUCUGUGAUGUCCUGAGGAAAGGCCGUGCUACAAACUCAGGUGCUCGAGAUGUUCUUUGUGCAGCAGCUGCUGAGGCAGGCAGAGGAGCGCUGGAGGAACGUGGGGAGCGGCUCAGGGGCUCCCAGGGGCUCACGGCUGCUCCUCGGGAGCUGCAGGGAGCUCUCCUGGCCCUUCAGCAGCAGCAGCCAGCAGGGAGGCUGGGCACAGAGGGGCUGGUCCCUGCUGUGCCACCCAGCCAGCCCCAGGACGCUGCCCCGUGCCCUGGGCACUCCCCAGGGCAGGCAGAGCCCGCGGGGAGCAGGGAUGAGCUGACUGCCUCCGACUGCUCCAUAGAGAGGGGACACAGAGCCACAGAGAUCUCCCCUUCCUUCAGUCUGGGAGCUGAGAGCUCCUUCUCCCUGCACCUGGCUCAUCCCAACUUCCAGUCCACUCCAGGGCUGUUCCUGAAGAAAACUGGGACGGCAGAAGGACGUGAUGGAGUCCUGGAGAUCCCUCCGGACCUCCAGGCCUCUCCUUCCCGUUCCAAUGAAGAAGCCCCAGGGGAGUCCCCUGCCCCUGGAUGCCCUGGGGAGCAGCAGCGUUCCCAGAGUGCUGUGGAAGAAACCUGUGCACACCUGGAGUCCUUGGAGCUGGAAUCCCCCUGCCCUGGCAGGGUGCAGUCCUUGCCCUCGCUGGGCUUCCUGGAGAAGGUGGGAGCACGUCAGGAGUCCUUGGAGCUGGAAUCCCCCUGCCCUGGCAGGGUGCAGUCCUUGCCCUCGCUGGGCUUCCUGGAGAAGGUGGGAGCCUGGAACGUGGGCCAGCCACAGCAGGGUCCCGAUGCCACCAGCUCACGUGUCCCAGGUGCAUUUCCCCCUGCAAGGCAAGCCUCCAGUGCACCCCCCAGGGCUUCAAGCUGUGUGUUCCCAGUCCAGAAAAGCCUUGGAGAUGCCGAGGGCUGUGCUGCUCCUGCCUGCAGGGGGACAGGGUCUCUGGGAAGUUUGCAUUUCCCCCACCCAGAGCUGCUGCCUGCUCCCCCUCUGAGCAGGUCCCAGUCUGAGGACGCCGUGAACGCUUGCAGCAGCAGCAGAGCCCUGGCUGGAGGGACCCCAGGGCAGGAGAGUCCUGCUCUGGGGGGCUCCGGCAGCUCCACCACACAAAAGGCUCCUGGAUCUCGUGCUGAAGGUGUGCAGAGCGCCACGAGACGAAGCUCAGCCCCCGGUGUGUUUGUGUCCAGUGUUGCUCAGCUCCUUAGAAAGGAUGGGAGCUCCCCGGCUGAGGAGCACCAGGAGUGUGAGGAGAAGGGAGAUCAGUCCCUCAGCCUCAGUAUUCCCAGUGGUGACGAUAUCAUGGACAGCUUUGGAGCCAUUUCCUUGGAGAGUUUGACUUUUCCUGAUGGUCCUGGGGAGCCUCAGGGGGCCCUGGUGGUGCCCAGGCCCUGCCCCAGUGCAGGAGGGAACAGCCCCAUCCCCCCUGGAGCAACACUGGAGACUCCCAAGAAAGAAGAACUGAAUAUUGAAGAAAGGAUCCCGGUGUACCUGCGGAACCUGGGCAUCCAGCAGUCCCCUGGCACCAUCCUGGCGCCCUUCGUGCCGCGGGGGCCCCUCCGCGAGCUGGAGUUCUCCCCCUGGCAGCUCAGGAGCCUGCAGCCCCCGCCGGGCACCCCCGCCAGGCUCCCCCGGCCGGCUCAGGGUGCAUUGCUGCCAGCCUUUGAGAUGUCCCAGGCGAGCUUCGGCUCGGACGUGUCCCCUCUGAGCGUGUCCCUGGCCGCGGGCUCCGAGGCUGGCUCGGAGCAGGAGCAGGAGCUGCUGUCCCCCCGGGAGCUGUGCCCCAGCUCCCCCAGGCUCUCCGGGGAGCGCCCAGCCCGCCAGGGCGCCGUGCCGGGCGCCCAGCUGCAGGCGG